GAUGAACGCUGGCGGCGUGCCUAAUACAUGCAAGUCGAGCGAACAGACGAGGAGCUUGCUCCUCUGACGUUAGCGGCGGACGGGUGAGUAACACGUGGAUAACCUACCUAUAAGACUGGGAUAACUUCGGGAAACCGGAGCUAAUACCGGAUAAUAUAUUGAACCGCAUGGUUCAAUAGUGAAAGACGGUUUUGCUGUCACUUAUAGAUGGAUCCGCGCCGCAUUAGCUAGUUGGUAAGGUAACGGCUUACCAAGGCGACGAUGCGUAGCCGACCUGAGAGGGUGAUCGGCCACACUGGAACUGAGACACGGUCCAGACUCCUACGGGAGGCAGCAGUAGGGAAUCUUCCGCAAUGGGCGAAAGCCUGACGGAGCAACGCCGCGUGAGUGAUGAAGGUCUUCGGAUCGUAAAACUCUGUUAUUAGGGAAGAACAAAUGUGUAAGUAACUAUGCACGUCUUGACGGUACCUAAUCAGAAAGCCACGGCGAACUACGG
rnacentral:rRNA from 1 species